rnacentral:lncRNA from 1 species
GCCCAUUUCUCAUAACAUUAUAUUUAGAAAUAUGUAUUUCUAGGACUUUUAAUAUUUUUUAUAUUUUCAAGCCGUGGAUCAGUCAGUCAACGGAUACUGAUCCCGCGGAUAUGGGGGAAUCCUACUGCAUUCAAUUUUGAAAUCUAGGUUAUGGGAGGGAGAAAUGGAAGACAACAACCGGCAGUGCAUGCAAUAUUUUUUGCAGCAUCUGCAUCCUCUAAAUAUGGAGUUUCACUCACUUUGAGUUUUUUCUCUCCCCUUGGUUCCAUUCUGGCGUGACGACCCAGCCCAGGCUGUUGGUGAAAUGAAGAAGCUUUUGCUGCUCUUACUGGGAGGCGCUGUCCAGUGUGAACGCCGAGACAAGGUCAUCGGCUCUAUCCAGACCCUGGACAUCACCACUCAAGCUGCCUUGGUAUCUGCCAUCCAAGAGGUAAAUAACAAACAAAAUCAGAACUAGUUUUCCCCAUACAGAAUGGGGCAAGCUACCAUUAGAAAGAACAGACUGUAUUUGACUCUUGAGAGUACACUGCUUCUAAAUACGGAAUAAGCGUAUUAUUUAGAGACGCUCUCAGAGUGUAAAAUUUUAAUCUCACAUUUGUACAUCAAGCUUCCCAAUGGUUUUUUUUUGCAUUCCAAUGGUUUUUUUUACUUUCGCUUGACGAUGAUAUUGCUUAACAGCAAUUUUAACAGAACGGAUUAUUGUCGUCAAGCGGGGUAUUGAAGCCUGAGAUUAGUAGGGACCCAGAUAUCUUUUGCCUCUCUCUCCAAGCUUCCCUCUGUGCUUAGCUAGAAUUUCCAGAGCAGUGUCCACAUACUGAGGGUGGGUGGGGGAAAUGCAUUUUCUCUAAUCUUAUGAGCUUUCUUCUUGCAACACAACAUGUUGUGUAUGGCUUGGUCUAGAAUGGGCAAUCAAGACCCGUUAGCCUCACAAAAGAGGUGCUUCUGGGUGAGAUGAGAACUACGAGUGUUGACAGAGUGUGGGGGAAAUUGGAAAUAACAUUCAGCAUGACAUCCCUUCCGAAAUGAAACUUCUGUAUAUUAUUACUGUUCAUGGUUGGCCUUUUAGGCCUAAUCCAGAGGGGAGCGCUGAGUAAGGAACAUUAUGUCCCAUGAAGGUCUGUGUAAGAACACCAGGGAUAUUUGGUAGCAUAGCCAAAGGCACUGAGAUAUCACGAGGACAUUAGAUGGCGACAGUUUUCUCACAAAUUCA